CACACCUCCUCCGUCACAAGGAAAGGGGCGAGGACUGUCUCUCAGCAGAUUUAGCUGGGGAGGCGAGGGGCAGAAGCCAGGAUUUGGCUACGGACGCCGAGCUCCAGCUCACAAGGGGCUCAAGGGGGCCCAUGACGCCCAGGGCACGCUCUCCAAAAUCUUCAAGCUGGGAGGAAGAGACAGUCGUUCCGGAUCCCCCAUGGCGAGACGCUGAAGCCCUCCCCUGGGGUCCCCGAAUCCUGUCCUCAGCUUCUUAAUACAACUACCUUACGAAUUUAAUACCGUCCACAUCCGCUCCCCACGUGUAGCAAACACCCUGCCUAAUGCCCGUUGAGCUGCGCACACGGUGGGCCAGGCACUCCGCGCCCUGCGGUUCUGGCCAUCAGCCGAGCGGAGGAGACGCAGACAGACGGUCAGCGGUGACUUUGUGUCCGAAGAGAGCGCGUGCCCGGAGCCCCCUCCGCCCAGCGUGGCCUGGACGCUGGCGGCGCCGGGGCACGGACGCACCUCCGAGCUCACCCUCCUCCCUCGGACUGGCUUUGCUGACUCAGCUUCCCCAGGCUUCGCAGGUGCUGCCGUGCGACGCCACUGUGGACACAGGGAUGCGUGCGGGGCGGUGAGGACUGCUGAUCCGAGCUUCCUUUGUUUCCUUUGGUUUCUCUCCCCGCCCCCGGCUCACCUCCUAACACACACUCACUCUCCCUCCAGGAUGAGCAGUCAGGAGCGGCACAGGGGCUUUCAGUACGUGCAGUGCGGGCGGGUAGCUGGGAGAGUCCCAUGUGGUGGGCGCGGAGGGCGCCCGUAGGCGGCGGCUCCCCACCACACCCGGUUGGCGGGUCUCAGGCGCGGUUGCGAGGGGACAAGGAGGCAGAGCUGGGCUGGGCCACGGCCCCAACGGGAAACAGGAUCUUCUUGGAAAUUAGGUGAUGGCACGGCGGGAGCCAGAGCGGCUUCUACGAACAGCCUGUUUCCCCCCGAGCCCAGCAGGAGAGUCCAGGGAGACGCUUGUCUCAGAGUGGGACUGGAGAAGUUUUCCGGGUGGCCUUGUGGCGUCACCCUGGUCACUGUGGGAGGUGACCGGCGGUGCUCCUCACGGCAGUGCGCACGGCAGAUACUAACCCUCGGUGGACAGAUAACCUCCGUCAGCUGGCAUCCCGACACGGACGCGCGUGGCCACGGGCUUCGGAGGGCCCGCGUCCCAAGUGGCGGGGCCGGACGUCGUGGGGCCCGGGCCUGGCUGGCCCUGCGAGCAGAGACGGGGGCUCCUCUAAAUUGUGUCUUUUCUAACUCGAGCUCACCUUUCCUGUGCUCCCCUCAUAACACACUGACCCACCGUUUGAUUUUAGCUACGUCUUAGAGGCCUUCCAAGGAGCCACACCGGCGUCAUCCUCCCUUAGAACGAAGAUGAGGAGUAGUCAGCACACCAACGUAACCCCGUCCUAAUUCCGAUGCCCGGUGUGGGCGUAAUGUAAUGUCUAUUAACCCAUAGCCUCAGUGAUGAGAGGGUUACGGGGGAACAAGGAACAAAAUUUCAGAAAUGAAACCUCCACAUUUCAUGACACACACACACACACGCUCUACGUCUUCGAGCUGACUGUCGGCCGAGGGAUCUUUGUGUGCGGCCACCCCAG